CAGCACUUCAGUAGAACAAACCAGCUCCAGACACAGAAGAUCCUACAUGGGGGCCUCCUUGACACCCAUUCCCUGCAGGAGCAGGCGAAGCCACCAGAGCUAACUUGCAGGAGACAGGGCUCCAGAUUGUGUCACGGCAGCAUCUCCUCGAGGAGUACCCCUGGGACAGCCACUAGUCAGGCCUGUCCUGUCCUGAUGGGGAGCUUCAGGCAUGAAACAAUUUGGGAAAUUCCCUACUUAGGCUCUUGCUGGAAAACCCCAAACGGAAGACACAGAGCCGAUCAUAAAUCUGGGAAGAGCAGACCUGGGCACUGUUGACGAAGAGCCAGAAGAGCCAGGAGAAAGUUGCUGGUCGCUUCUUUUGUUUUGGGGCCUUUAUCGCUGUUGGUCUGCAAUAGUCGGCAAACUCAGUCAACAGAGCCAAAUAUCAACAGUACGACGAUUGAAAUUUCUUUUGAGAGCCAAUUUUUUAAACUUAAACUAUAUAGGUAGGGACAUUGUUAUUAACUUAAUUAGGGUGCUCCUAAGGCUUAGGAAGAGCCACACUCAAGGGGCCAAAGAGCCACAUGUGGCUUGUGAGCCACUUUUGCCGACCACUGACCUAGCAUAUGGUGGUGAACAUGGUAAGCUUUCAGGGUCGGCUCCUGAUAUUAUGGUUAGUACUGUUGUUGCUACUAUUGAUACUUGUCAUGUUUUAGUCCACACUUAUCUAAACACAGUGACGAGUCUAAAACAGAUGCUGCUCCAGCUCUGCUGCCUGGUGCCCUCACUCCCACACCAGGAAGGCUGGGCAGCCCGGCCGGUGUGACUCAGUGGUUGAGCUUGGACCUAUGAACUAGGAGGUCACAGUUCGAUUUCUGGUCAGGGCACCUGCCGCGGUUUCAGGCUCCAUCGCCAGGAGGGGGCGUGCAGGAGGCAGCCAAUCGAUGAUUCUCUCUCAUCACUGAUGUUUCUCUCUCUCUCUCUCUCUCUCUCUCUCUCUCUCUCUCUCUCUCUCUCCCCCUCUCUCUUCUUCUCUGAAAUCAAUAAAAAUAUUUUCUUUAAAAAAAAAAAAAAGGAAGUCCAACAGGAGGCCAUUGUCUACCUGCUAGAGAGGUGACUACAGAGAACGGAGGUGGGGAUAGUAAGGAGACUCCCCGCACCCCAGUGGAGAGAAGGGGCUGAUGCAUCUGAGCCUGAGGCAGAUUAGCUAAUGAACAGGAUGUCCCGGGCAGGCAACACUGGCGGGUGAACAGCAGCACCUGGAGCCAAGAUGCUGCCGAGUCAAAUACAGUAGUUGUGAGGAAAUGGGAGAUGCUAUCAUCCUAUUUGGGGAAUUCCUAACAAGUCCCAAGGAAGGGGAAUGGUUAUUGUCAUUAUCAUGACUUUAGAGUCAUGGCAUGGGGCCAAUUGUUCAGGAUUAAAUCCAACAGCCUUAAUGUUCCCUUAGAGCAGCAUGGAAAUAUGCUAGCAAUGUCUCCAGAGCACCAAGAGCAUAGAAGUCAAUCAAGUAAUAACGGAAGUGAGCUCACUUGGGUGGAGGUGGAGCUGCUGAUUUUCAUCUCUUCUAAUAAUUAAAAAAUACAGAAGAAUAGUGAAGAGGAGACUGGAAUUAAGGUUCUAAAAUCAAAGCCCAUGGAAGGAUGUCCUCUGUUGUCAUAGUGACCACAGAAAGGGUCAGGGCGCUCACAUGCCUUCUGACUCUGCUCCUAAGGGACCUCAGCUUAUCUGAGACGUUCACCAUAUUGUGGUCAUGAGUUCCUGACCCGGUAACUCUGACUCUCCUGAGGUAAAAAAUCUGCUCCCUGGUUGAGUAAGUGACUUUCCGCAUCUGGGAAUGUUUAGAAUUAAAUACGGCAAUGAUAAAAUAAAUCAGACCCAUAAUAUUGGUACUUUCAUGUUGAGCUUAGGAAUAAUCUUGCGUGUGUUUCUUAUUUAAGUGAUUCUUUAAGUGGAAACGUAUGACUCUGAUUGAAAGCGUGAAAUUGAUUUUGGGCUUGUGAUUUUAAGUUGGAAGAUGUAAGAAAACUUGACUGAGCUCCUUAAUAGUUUUAGGAUACAUUCACGAUAUUUGUAAGUUUAACUUAUUAGAUUUAGAAGAGAUGUUUAAAUAUCUGAGAACAUUUUGGCUUAAUUGGUUGUAAACUUGCCAGGUCAAUUAUUUGAAGUGUUAAACCAGAAACUCAACUAUUAUUAAGUCUAUACAAGCAAUUUAAAAUGUCUAAGAGAUUUUAAUAAGUGAUGUAUGAGAAUGAUGGUUUAAGGGAGUUUAGCCUACUCAACUUGAGUUAAUUAAACAUUAAUCAUAAUGA